CCCCUAGAUGUUCUGGGCCGCACGCGCGCUACACUGAACAGUUCAACAAGUCUUAACCUUGGCCGAUAGGUCUGGGUAAUCUUUGAACGCUGUUCGUGAUUGGGAUAGACCUUUGCAAUUAUGGGUCUUCAACGAGGAAUUCCUAGUAAACGCAAGUCAUCAGCUUGCAUUGAUUACGUCCCUGCCCUUUGUACACACCGCCCGUCGCUACUACCGAUUGAAUGAUUUAGUGAGGACUUCGGACUGGGACCGAUGCGGCUUUCGGGCUGCGUCGGUAUUCUGGAAAGAUGUCCAAACUGUAUCAUUUAGGGGAAGUAAAAGUCGUAACA
rnacentral:rRNA from 1 species